CCUACGGUGGGCAGCAGUGAGGAAUAUUGGUCAAUGGGCGCGAGCCUGAACCAGCCAAGUAGCGUGAAGGAUGACUGCCAUACGGGUUGUAAACUUCUUUUAUAAAGGAAUAAAGUGAGGCACGUGUGCCGUUUUGUAUGUACUGUAUGAAUAAGGAUCGGCUAACUCCGUGCCAGCAGCCGCGGUAAUACGGAGGAUCCGAGCGUUAUCCGGAUUUAUUGGGUUUACAGGGAGCGUAGAUGGGUUGUUAAGUCAGUUGUGAAAGUUUGCGGCUCAACCGUAAAAUUGCAAUUGAUACGGGCAGUCUUGAGUACAGUUGAGGUAGGCGGAAUUCGUUGUGUAGCGUGUAAAUGCUGAGAUAUCACGAUGAACUCCGAUUGCGAAGGCAGCUUACUAAACUGCCACUGACAUUGAUGCUCGAAAGUGUGGGUAUCAAACAGGAUUAGAUACCCGGGUAGUC
rnacentral:rRNA from 1 species